rnacentral:rRNA from 1 species
AGCAGCCGCGGUAAUUCCAGCUCCAAUAGCGUAUAUUAAAGUUGUUGCAGUUAAAAAGCUCGUAGUUGAAUUUCGGGACCAGUAUGUUGGUCGUGCUUCGGUACGUACUGUCAUUACUGGUUUCUCCCUUCUGAAGAACCUUGAUGUCAUUAAUUUGGUGUCUUGGGGAAUCAGGACUGUUACUUUGAAAAAAUUAGAGUGUUUAAAGCAGGCAUACGCUUGAAUACAUUAGCAUGGAAUAAUGAAAUAGGACGUUUGAUUCUAUUUUGUUGGUUUCUAGGAUCGACGUAAUGAUUAAUAGGGAUAGUUGGGGGCAUUAGUAUUCAAUUGUCAGAGGUGAAAUUCUUGGACUUAUUGAAGACUAACUACUGCGAAAGCAUUUGCCAAGGAUGUUUUUCAUUAAUCAAGAACGAAAGUUAGGGGAUCGAAGACGAUCAGAUACCGUCGUAGUCUUAACCAUAAACUAUAGCCGACUAGGGAUCGGAUGAUGUUAAUUUUUUAAUGACUCAUUCGGCGCC